rnacentral:tRNA from 2 species
UCCAUAGAUACAGGUAUAUAUAAUAAGAAGGUGACUGUUAAUCACUGGGUCGGCGGUUCGAGCCCGUCCCGGGGAGCCA